CGUAAACANAGGGAAGCGAGCCUGCGAGGGGGAGCGAAUCCCAAAAAUAACGUCCCAGUUCGGAUUGUAGUCUGCAACCCGACUACAUGAAGCUGGAAUCGCUAGUAAUCGCGGAUCAGAAUGCCGCGGUGAAUACGUUCCCGGGUCUUGUACACACCGCCCGUCACACCAUGGGAGCCGGGAAUGCCCGAAGUCGGUGACCCAACCGUAAGGAGGGAGCCGCCGAAGGCAGGCCUGGUAACUGGGGUGAAGUCGUAACAAGGUAUC
rnacentral:rRNA from 1 species